rnacentral:tRNA from 1 species
GAUUUUAUAUUCAAUAAUGAUUUCAGAUUGCAAUUCUGAGGGUGUAUUUAAUUUACUAAGGUCU